GUAAAGAUGGUGCCAGCAGCGGCGGGUAGACGAAAGGUGGCGGCGUUAAUCGGAAGGUCGUGGCGUAAAGCGUGCGGAUGCGGUUUGCUAAGUCAGAUGGGAAAGCCCCGGGCUCAACCUGGGAACUGCAUUUGAAACUGGCAGGCUAGAAUGCAGUAGAGGGAGGUGGAAUUUCCGGUGUAGCUGUGAAAUGCGUAGAGAGCGGAAGGAACACCAGUGGCGAAGGCGGCCUCCUGGACUGACAUUGACGCUGAGGUGCGAAAGCGUGGGGAGCAAACAGGAUUAGAUACCCCAGUAGUC
rnacentral:rRNA from 1 species